UAGCUCGGGUUUCUCUUCAUUCACGCAUAAAUCUUUCGCCUUUUACUAAAGAUUUCCGUGGAGAGGAACGUUGAUGAGUUCAACUUAUUUUUGCAGGCUUUGCUGUUGCAAAGCU
rnacentral:snRNA from 1 species